GAUGAACGCUGGCGGCGUGCUUAACACAUGCAAGUCGAACGGAAAGGCCUCUGCUUGCAGGGGUACUCGAGUGGCGAACGGGUGUGUAACACGCGGGUGAUAUGCCCUGCACUUCGGGAUAUGCCUGCGAAACUGGGUCUAAUACCGGAUAGGACAAUGUUAUGGAUGCCGUUGUGGAAAGUUGUUCGGUGUGGGAUGGGCUCGUGGCCUAUGAGCUUGUUGGUGGGGUAAUGGCCUACCAAGGCGUCGACGGGUAGCCGGCCUGAGAGGGUGUACGGCCACAUUGGGACUGAGAUACGGCCCAGAAGCCUACGGGAGGCAGUGGUGGGGAGUAUUGCACAAUGGGCGCAAGCCUGAUGCAGCGACGCCGCGUGCGGGAUGCCGGCCUUCGAGGGGUAAACUCCUUUCGCUAGAGACGAAGCGCAAGUGACGGUACCUGGAGAAGAAGCACCGGCUAACUACGUG
rnacentral:rRNA from 1 species